rnacentral:misc_RNA from 1 species
UUCGUCCUCCCACCCGCAAUAGUGGAUCCAUCAACGGCGAUUUCAUCUUCCGCAUCGAAUUCAGUGGCUGUUGAUCUGGCCUCCCCACGACAGGUCCACCAUGGCUCCAGGGAAGAGGUCCACACGGACCUUAUAGACACCGGAAGAACCCGCGCUAGCUGAUUAUGAGAAAAUAAGGGCUAUGAAUGUGAUGUAGAACAAUCAAUUAUUUCAACGACUAGGCCUUGCACAAUUGAAAUCAUUGAUGACUGCUACAACUGCAAACAACAUACAAGACUGUCCUCAGCAAUCAGGGAGUUUAUAUGAUGGUGAAGACACCGAUGGUUCUAAUGAAGAGGAAUCCCAAAGUCGUAAGGGUGUUCGUGCCAACAUCUCCAACGAUGGUGAUCAGAUCUCAACAAAAGUAACAGGAGGAAAUAAAAGAAUUGUGGCACCUCCACAAGAGCGAACAAUUAGAGUUACUAGGCAAAGAAUUGCUGAAAUAAACCAAGAAACUACCCACAGCUUGUCUAUUCUUACGCAAGCCAAUUCAUGUCCUACUACAAACCAUGAAUCGAUUGAAACUCUUGUUGCUUCUUCGCAUCCUAGUUCAAAUUCUACCACAGAUCAUGACCCAACCCACAACAUAUAUAUUGCUACAGAGCAUAAUUCUUUGUUACAGGAGGAGGAUGAUAACCACAAUGUUGUUGAAGACUAGGAACAAUAGAAAUCAUACCAAGGAGAAAAAGUAUGGGCAAGCAACUUAAAUCGUUAAGCAGAGGACUGGGAAUGAAGAUUCCAAUCCAGAUUACUGAAGGGAACAAAAGGCCAGAGCCACCUUUUCAAGCUGCUAAGUUUGCAUGAGACGGGGGAAUCACAUUGAGGCAACACGUUCCAAUAUUUCACAAUUGGAAGGAGUACAAGAAGAAACAGAAUGAACCUACAAUAAGAAACUAUAUUGGAAAAGUUACUGCUCAAUUCACCAUGUACAAUGAAAGCAAGGCAGUGGAAGAUGCAUGUCUAGAUAUGCUAAAGGGUGGACAGCGCCAAAUGAGAUAUAGACUGAAACAAAAAUAUUUCAAUGGGAUACCUGCUAAUGAAGUCAGGACUUCAUCGCCUAUUCCAAGCAUGUCUGAUGAGGACUGGAGAAGGGGUCUACCACAAAACACAAGAAGCAACAUAAAUAUAAGGAUAUUGAACCGAGUGCAAUAGAUCUUUUCAAGGACAUGCAUUGCAGCAAGAAG